rnacentral:lncRNA from 1 species
AUUAUAUUUGGUGGCAACUUAGUUGUUGACUUUGAUCUGUAGCUAUUCAGGCUCCUUGUAGCUUAGCUAUUUGCAAAAACACUUUGCCUUUUUUAGACACCAGAGGAACAGUUAGGGUUCCUUAGCGCUGAGCCUGUGCAGUGAGUAACGUGCAGCUGAGAAGCAUAAGACUGACAGCAGUGUUCUCUUCCUUUGUAGUGUGCUGGAACCAAAAUUUGUCAGGGUCAAAGCAUAAUGAUCCUCCAGUUACAGUGCAAGAGUGUAUUCCACGAGUAAUAAUUUGGACCAAAGCAAAAGAGCUACAAUGCAGCAGAAGAACGCUCCACCUUCUUGGAGUCUUUUCCUUUGUCUUCCUGUUUCCUUAGUACAUUGUUGGCAUGCCGAGGCAAGACACUGCUUUUAUCUUAUGACUGAUGCAAAGCUUCACCAUUAUUUCCGGAUAAUACAGAUGGUAGUAGAAGACUACGUGCACCCCUGGUGCCAGAUGAGUCACUCAGAGAGCAUCUGUGGAGGAGAGGCCACCAAUAGCAUCUGUGGAAGACAGCACCCAACAGUGGAUCAUUAACUAUCUACUGUCCAGAUUUACCAUCAUUUGUUACAAAUGAGGAGAAUUAAACAGAAAAAAAACAAUGAAACAUGUUUUCUACCCCAUGACAAAACAAACAAACAAACAAACAAAAAGGGGAAUUGUAGUAUAUCCUGGGGCGUAUGGAACUGGAUUAUGGCUCCUAUAUCUGAAGAAGAAAUGAUCAUAGUCACCUUACACUACUCUGUAAUAAAAUAUUUCCUCAAGAAAUAAAAAUAUUUC